rnacentral:rRNA from 1 species
UUGCUCUCGGGUGACGAGUGGCGGACGGGUGAGUAAUGUCUGGGAAACUGCCUGAUGGAGGGGGAUAACUACUGGAAACGGUAGCUAAUACCGCAUAACGUCGCAAGACCAAAGAGGGGGACCUUCGGGCCUCUUGCCAUCAGAUGUGCCCAGAUGGGAUUAGCUUGUUGGUGAGGUAACGGCUCACCAAGGCGACGAUCCCUAGCUGGUCUGAGAGGAUGACCAGCCACACUGGAACUGAGACACGGUCCAGACUCCUACGGGAGGCAGCAGUGGGGAAUAUUGCACAAUGGGCGCAAGCCUGAUGCAGCCAUGCCGCGUGUAUGAAGAAGGCCUUCGGGUUGUAAAGUACUUUCAGCGGGGAGG